UGAACCUGCGGAAGGAUCAUUGAAUCUAUCAAUAACCACACCGUGCACUUGUUUGUCUGGCCCAUCAUUCUCUCUUGAGUUUGGUGCUUCCCGGGUAGCAUUAAGUUGCUGCUUGGGUUGGGUCCGGCUAUCCAUCAACUUGGGUAGUCGGGCUGGUCCUUACUAACCAACAACACCAAAUCAAACCUAAAGCCAAAGAUAUGUGUUCGGCCUAGCCGUCACAUCCUAACUGAGACAACUCUCAACAACGGAUAUCUUGGCUCUCGCAACGAUGAAGAACGCAGCGAAAUGCGAUACGUAGUGUGAAUUGCAGAAUUCCGUGAAUCAUCAAAUCUUUGAACGCAAAUUGCGCCCAAUGCUUCGGCUGAGGGCAUGUUUGCCUCAGCGUCGGGUUAAUCUCACUUCCCCCUUCCCAAAGCGGAGUGUUGGGAAAGUGGACCUGGCUGUUCCAGAGCUUGAAUGCUUCAUGGCGCUCGUGAAGGGCUCUGGAUCAGCUGAAGAGCAGAGGCUAGCUCAAGGACCCGUCAAGGGCCGCAACUGGGUAGGCAGCUCACGCUUGCUAUUUCUAGUUGUUGGCUUGGGACCAUGAGCUCGGCCCUCAAACAGGAACCUCUUUUUUUUCUCGACCUGAGCUCAAGCAAGACCACCCGCUGAACUUAAGCAUAUCAAUAAGCGGAGGAAAAGAAACUAACAAGGAUUCCCUUAGUAAUGGCGAAUGAAACGGGAAUAGCCCAACUUGAAAAUCUCCCUUUGGAGAAUUGUAGUCUAGAGAAGCGCCCUCUGCGGCGGCCGGAGCCUAAGUCCGUUGGAAAACGGCGUCAGAGAGGGUGAGAACCCCGUCGGCUCUAGGCUUAGCUGCUCCACGAGGUGCUUUCCACGAGUCGGGUUGUUUGGGAAUGCAGCCCAAAAUGGGAGGUACAUCCCUUCUAAGGCUAAAUACUGGCGAGAGACCGAUAGCGAACAAGUACCGUGAGGGAAAGAUGAAAAGAACUUUGAAAAGAGAGUUAAAAAGUGCUUGAAAUUGUUGAGAGGGAAGCGUUUGGAGGUUAUAGGUGCGCCUAGGCUUAUACGAUUCUAACGAGCCGUUGUAUGUGCUAGGUGCUGGUCAACAUGGGUUAGCCUGGCGGGAUAACAGCGGGGGUUGAUACCCCGUCUAUGCCGCCGGGUUGAUCAAGGUGUGAAUGGCGCUCUGUCCUUCGGGAACUGCGUCAUCAAGAUGUUGGCAGAAGGCCUUCAAACGA
rnacentral:rRNA from 1 species